GGCAACGUAGCAAAGUGGUUACUGCGUUUGACUCGAAUAUUCUUCGACAUCAAAUCUCUUCGGAGGCGUAGGUUCGAGUCCUGCCGUUGUCG
rfam:Pseudocercospora musae strain CBS 116634 scaffold48, whole genome shotgun sequence.